rnacentral:lncRNA from 1 species
UUUUAAAAUGAGAUGCUAAUGGUCUAAUCCGAUUCAAUGAUCUAUGCUAAGCUAAGCUAUAAGUGCUUUUUUGAGUGGGAUGCUAAUGGUCUAAUCCGAUUCAAUGAUCUAUGCUAAGCUAUAAGUGCUUUUUUAGUGAGAUGCUAAUGGUCUAAUUCGAUUCAAUGAUUUAUGCUAAGGUAAAAAGUGCUUUUUUUUGAGAUGCUAAUGGUCUAAUCAGAUUCAAUGAUUUAUGCUAAGCUAAGCUAAAAGUGCUCUCUCCAGACUCGGAAAAUGGCUAAAUGGAUUCAAAAAUGCUAAAACUCAACAGUCUAAAUCAAGGGGAGGUGUAAAUGAAAAUUUAUUUUGAAAAAAAGGUGGAGUGCUCCUUUAAUACUUCUCCAAAAUCUGUAACGAACUAUCAUGUUUAGCAUAACUCGUUGUAUAAGUAAUACUGAUGUUUAUUAUGUGAAUGCCAGAGAAGAGUUUUGAUCUCGAGGUUAUUUUCAUUACAGAGUCUUAAAAUCGAAAUGUUCAAAUGUUGUACAUACUCAUACCAAAGAGUUGGUUUCCUCACGCGAUCAGUGUUGUACAGUCUCCAGUCCCAUUCUUUGUGUACAGUUUUGCUAUGAAUGACUGGCUUAAGGUAAACGUUUGAGAAUCACUGAUUCGGAGAUGCCUUGAAAUGAAUUCGCGAUGAUCUGUGCAACUUUUGGAGCUUUCUCGUUUUCACCACAGCAUUGCUUUGAGCAUUAGGAGUUAGUCUGUGGAUGAAGUGCUCUGUUGCAGUUUAACUGAACUU